rnacentral:rRNA from 1 species
UCAGGACGAACGCUGGCGGCGUGCCUAAUACAUGCAAGUAGAACGCUGAGGACUGGUGCUUGCACUGAUCUAAGGAGUUGCGAACGGGUGAGUAACGCGUAGGUAACCUACCUCAUAGCGGGGGAUAACUAUUGGAAACGAUAGCUAAUACCGCAUGACAAUAGGGUACACAUGUACCCUAUUUAAAAGGGGCAAAUGCUUCACUAUGAGAUGGACCUGCGUUGUAUUAGCUAGUUGGUAAGGUAACGGCUUACCAAGGCGACGAUACAUAGCCGACCUGAGAGGGUGAUCGGCCACACUGGGACUGAGACACGGCCCAGACUCCUACGGGAGGCAGCAGUAGGGAAUCUUCGGCAAUGGGGGGAACCCUGACCGAGCAACGCCGCGUGAAGUGAAGAAGGUUUUCGGAUCGUAAAGCUCUGUUGUUAGAGAAGAACGGUAAUGGGAGUGGAAAAUCCAUUACGUGACGGUAACUAACCAGAAAGGGACGGCUAACUACGUGCCAGCAGCUGC